AUGUACGGAGAGGGAAGAGGCACAGAGCAAGCAAGGAAAGACGCUUUUGAGCUGGCUCGCACAAGGAAGAUGGAGGAUAUGAAUAUAAAAAAGAGGAGAAGGGUAUGUGAUUUGGGAGAGGAAGAGAGGCAAUUUGGGGAUGGGGAUUUUGGUUUAGAGAGCUAGUAGAGGAAACUUCAAGGAUUUAUCUUCGUUAUGGGUUUUUCGCUCUCCGCCGGGUUUAUGUUCUAAAAUCCUGAUGGGUUUCCGCAUUUACUGCUUGUGGAGGCUGGAAGUGUAUUGCUUGAAUUCCUAGCCAAGGACUUAAGAAUCCGUUGUACUCGUCUUGAAGGACUUGAGGAAGAUCCCAAUGAAAUAAUGUCACAAAUGGUCGUAUGCCUAUUCAAAAUGCAAAAAGUUUAGCAGCUGAGGAAUUGCGUUGAAGCCGAGGAAUCGCAUCGAAUAUAAGGUUAGUGGAAAGAGAUUGAGAGGAGUAAUAUUGAUUUUAUUACCAUUUGAAAUGAGGUGAUUUAUCAAAUAAUUGUAGAAGUCAACACCAAGCUGGUUCACUCCUCUACUGACUUUUCCUUCUAUAUAACAAGUAAGUUUCAGUAGUUAGUUCAUUAUGUACAUGCAUUUUGUAAUGCUUAUAAGUAUGUAAUAUAUUGAUUUUAAGCGAUUGAUAUGAUCAUACGAGGCAAUAUUCUUGACCAUGAUAUUGAAAAUC